GUGAUUCGUCACACUAUCAUUAACUGAAUCCAUAGGUUAAUGAGGCGAACCGGGGGAACUGAAACAUCUAAGUACCCCGAGGAAAAGAAAUCAACCGAGAUUCCCCCAGUAGCGGCGAGCGAACGGGGAGGAGCCCAGAGCCUGAAUCAGCAUGUGUGUUAGUGGAAGCGUCUGGAAAGGCGCGCGAUACAGGGUGACAGCCCCGUACACAAAAGCGCAUGUGCUGUGAGCUCGAUGAGUAGGGCGGGACACGUGGUAUCCUGUCUGAAUAUGGGGGGACCAUCCUCCAAGGCUAAAUACUCCUGACUGACCGAUAGUGAACCAGUACCGUGAGGGAAAGGCGAAAAGAACCCCGGCGAGGGGAGUGAAAAAGAACCUGAAACCGUG
rnacentral:rRNA from 1 species